AUCUAUAGCCAUGCCACCCUGAAUAUGCCCGAUCUUGUCUGAUCUCGGAAGCUAAGCAGGUUUGGGCCUGGUUAGUACUUGGACGGGAGACCAUCUAGGAAUACCAGGUGCUAUAGGUG
rnacentral:rRNA from 1 species